GAUGAAGAACGUAGCGAAAUGCGAAAAGUAAUGUGAAUUGCAGAAUUCAGUGAAUCAUCGAAUCUUUGAACGCACAUUGCGCCCAUUAGUAUUCUAGUGGGCAUGCCUGUUCGAGCGUCAUUAAGUCCACUUAAGCCCUGCUUAGUGUUGGGAGACUGCUCCAGCGGUGCUACCCUGUAGCUACCCUGCAGCUCCUCAAAGACAGCGGCGGAGUUGUGGUAUCCUCUGAGCUUAGUAACUUGUUCUAGCUUUCGAGUACACCACUUCCCCUGCCGUAAAACCCUUAAUUUUUAAUGGUUGACCUCGGAUCAGGUAGGAAUACCCGCUGAACUUAAGCAUAUCAAUAAGCGGAGGA
rnacentral:misc_RNA from 1 species